UGCCCCGCCCCCUCGACGCGUCACGCCGUCCGGGCUGUGGGUACCGCCCUAACAGCCACUCUGGCCGCGGAGAGGCGGGCCUAAGGAGUGACGUACGCUCGGGGUGAGGCUCCGCCCGCUCUGUGGAGGCUCUCAAGCGGUUUUGGGCAGUACCCUGACUGCUUGGGAUCCUUCAUCUGGUUUAACCCUCAGUACGUAUUAAUAGCUCCACUGAACAAAUCAGUUAACUGGGGCUUGCAAAAUAGCUCAUCCAUCAGGUCAAGGUAUUUGGCCACAGCGACAUCAGAGACAAGAAGAGACACAGAUGAGAGACAAGCACAUGAAAGAUGCUUACCAUCCUUCGCCAUGGCAAAAAGUGAAAUUAAAAAGUCGAGGGGACAUUACUGUGCAUCUGAUGGAGACAUGAGGACCCGUAGGGCUUGCUGGCCAGCCAGUCUAGCCCAGUCAGUAAGCUCCAGGUUCCAUUGUGCCUGUGGUCUUCAAGAGCUCUGCACACCCACAGACAUAAAAAUAAAGUUCAGGUGAAAUAAAUGAGAGUGUGUACCAUAGGUCACUACCUGACACUUUUAGAGACGAGGAAACAGGGUUAGUGCCUGUAGCUUGCCUGAGUACAGAGCUGAUGAGACAGGCCUGGAUCCAAGCUGAGGAUUUCCUAGCUCCAAAGGCCAUGAACUCACUCACCUAAAACAGUUCUGGCUGGUACCUUUGGUGCAAGGCAAAUGACUUAAGGGUUCAGUUCACUGAUUGCAGAUUGUAAUUGUUGACUUCCACCUUCAGUAAAGAUUUCACUGUCUGCUAACAUAAUAGUAAUUUAAAAGUUUUUGCUUUCGAAU
rnacentral:lncRNA from 1 species